rnacentral:lncRNA from 1 species
CAGAGAGAGAGAGGAGCAGCAUGCUGAGGAGGAGCAGGUGUGAUGCAUGAAUAAACUGCUCCUUGGCACCCUGUGGGAUACUGAUGAAACAAAUAGAAUUUCCCCAGGCAUGGAUAAUACAAGAACAGCAGACACUUUUUCACAGUUAAGCCAGGAAAAAAUCCUCAAAAUCAUGAACAUGGUGAAAAACAAAGAAGUGAGCAUUGAGGCAGCUCUGCAUUUGGCACAGAAGGAGGGGUAUGCUGAAAAGGAUCCCCAGGAUUUGUUAACUGGGUCCCAAUUUAACUUCAUUAUCUACAAAUACAAACACUACCGCUGGCAGAAACGGAUUCUGCAGCUGGAUUUCAGCAGCAGGACCAUUUUCAACAUCGAGAAGGGCACUAUCAGGAAGCAGUUCCCUUUCUCCCAAGUGAGGGGCUGCGAGGACUCGGAGAGGAGGCGUUUCAGCAUCCUGUUCCACGGCAGGCAGCACUACGAGCUGGAGGCUGUGUCCCUGGAGGACAAGAGGAAGAUAAUCUACCUGCUGAGCAGAGUUAUUCAGAGCAAUUCUUACAAGAGACCAGUGGAGUCCUGGCCUGGGAGAGCUGCAGAAUGUGAUGUGAUCCAUGAAGGGCUGCUGGAUUUGCAGGAGAACACCUUAACCUCCACUGAAUGGGUGAAGUAUGAGCUCUGGCUUUCCUUAAAACUUCUGAUAGAUGCAUUUAGAUUUGAAUGUGCUGAUAAGAACUUUAUUAUUUAGUUGUUUUUUAAAUGCAAAGGUAGAUGCCCAGUCUGCAUGAGAUGGAAGCACUGCAAUGACCUGUCAGGGCAGGAGUGGUACCCAAAAAACCAAAGUUGUGAUCUGGAGCCUGCUGGGAG